AGAGUUUGAUUCUGGCUCAGGAUGAACGCUAGCGGCAGGCUUAACACAUGCAAGUCGAGGGGCAGCGGGAUGUAGCAAUACAUUGCCGGCGACCGGCGGAUGGGUGCGUAACGCGUAUGCAACCUACCUUAUACAGGGGAAUAACCUUUCGAAAGGAGACUAACACCCCAUAGUAUUGAUUUAAGGCAUCUUAGAUUAAUUAAAUAUUUAUAGGUAUAAGAUGGGCAUGCGUAUGAUUAGCUAGUUGGUAAGGUAACGGCUUACCAAGGCGACGAUCAUUAGGGGUUCUGAGAGGAAGGUCCCCCACACUGGUACUGAGACACGGACCAGACUCCUACGGGAGGCAGCAGUGAGGAAUAUUGGACAAUGGAUGGAAAUCUGAUCCAGCCAUGUCGCGUGCAGGAAGACGGCCCUAUGGGUUGUAAACUGCUUUUGUAUGGGAGCAAUAAGGGCUACGUGUAGUCCGAUGAGAGUACCAUACGAAUAAGCACCGGCUAACUCCGUGCCAGCCGCCGC
rnacentral:rRNA from 1 species